UCUUGGUCAUUUAGAGGAAGUAAAAGUCGUAACAAGGUCUCCGUAGGUGAACCUGCGGAGGGAUCAUUACAGAGUUCAUGCCCUCCGGGUAGAUCUCCCACCCAUUGCUAUAACUACUCUCGUUGCUUUGGCGGGCCGCUGGGCCCUGCCCGGCCGCCGGCCCCGGCUGGCGCGUGCCCGCCAGAGACCUCACAGACUCUGAAUGUUAGUGUCGUCCGAGUAACUAUACAAUCGUUAAAACUUUCAACAACGGAUCUCUUGGUUCUGGCAUCGAUGAAGAACGCAGCGAAAUGCGAUAAGUAAUGCGAAUUGCAGAAUUCAGUGAGUCAUCGAAUCUUUGAACGCACAUUGCGCCCUGUGGUAUUCCGCAGGGCAUGCCUGUUCGAGCGUCAUUUCAACCCUCAAGCCUCGCUUGGUGUUGGGCCCUGCCCGCCGCGGCCGGCCCUAAAGAUAGUGGCGGCGCCGCCUGGCCCUCAGCGUAGUACAGCUCUCGCUCCAGGGUCCGGCGGCAGCCUGCCAGAACCCCCCAACUCUGUGGUUGACCUCGGAUCAGGUAGGGAUACCCGCUGAACUUAAGCAUAUCAAUAAGCGGAGGAA
rnacentral:rRNA from 1 species